GAUGAACGCUGGCGGCGUGCCUAAUACAUGCAAGUCGAGCGAACAGACGAGGAGCUUGCUCCUCUGACGUUAGCGGCGGACGGGUGAGUAACACGUGGAUAACCUACCUAUAAGACUGGGAUAACUUCGGGAAACCGGAGCUAAUACCGGAUAAUAUCUUGAACCGCAUGGUUCAAUAGUGAAAGACGGUUUUGCUGUCACUUAUAGAUGGAUACGCGCCGCAUUAGCUAGUUGGUAAGGUAACGGCUUACCAAGGCAACGAUGCGUAGCCGACCUGAGAGGCUGAUCGGCCACACUGGAACUUGGACAGGGACCAUACUCCUACGAGAGGCAGCAGUAGGGAAUCUGCCGCAAUGGGCGAAAGCAUGGCGGAGCAACGCCGCGUGAGUGAUGAAGGUCUUGGGAGCGGAAAACUCUGUUAUUAGGGAAGAACAAAUGUGUAAGUAACUAUGCACGUCUUGACGGUACCUAAUCAGAAAGCCACGGCUAACUACGUG
rnacentral:rRNA from 1 species